GACGAACGCUGGCGGCGUGCCUAAUACAUGCAAGUAGAACGCUGAAGGAGGAGCUUGCUUCUCUGGAUGAGUUGCGAACGGGUGAGUAACGCGUAGGUAACCUGCCUGGUAGCGGGGGAUAACUAUUGGAAACGAUAGCUAAUACCGCAUAAGAGUAGAUGUUGCAUGACAUUUGCUUAAAAGGUGCAAUUGCCUCACUACCAGAUGGACCUGCGUUGUAUUAGCGAGUUGGUGGGGUAACGGCUCACCAAGGCGACGAUACAUAGCCGACCUGAGAGGGUGAUCGGCCACACUGGGAAUGAGACACGGCCCAGACUCCCACGGGAGGCAGCAGUAGGGAAUCUUCGGCAAUGGACGGAAGUCUGACCGAGCAACGCCGCGUGAGGGAAGAAGGGUUUCGGAUCGUAAAGCUCUGUUGUAAGAGAAGAACGAGUGUGAGAGUGGAAAGUUCACACUGUGACGGUAUCUUACCAGAAAGGGACGGCUAACUACGUG
rnacentral:rRNA from 1 species